rnacentral:lncRNA from 1 species
CAAGUUUGCUGCAUCUUGCUUAGUGAAGCAAUGGAUAAGUUGUUAUCCACUCAUUGGUCUAUGCUCAUCAAUAACUAUUAGGUUAGGUGUAUAUAGAUUAAUGGGACCGUAAUAUCCACUGAAGAAAAAAUAGAUAGUUCAAAGCAUGUAUUUUUAAAAUUUUACAGUGAAAAUAAAAGAUUAAACAUUUUAAUCUUCUAAACAUG